rnacentral:lncRNA from 1 species
CCAAUGAGAAUGAAGGCUGAGGUGUGCGCCUUUUUUUUUUUUCCUUCUUAGUCGUGUGUACAUCAUUGGGAAUGGAGGGAAAUAAAUGACUGGAUGGUCGCUGCUUUUUAAGUUUCAAAUUGACAUUCCAGACAAGCGGUGCCUGAGCCCGUGCCUGUCUUCAGAUCUUCACAGCACAGUUCCUGGGAAGGUGGAGCCACCAGCCUCUCCCUGACAAGCAAAGUGGAUCAGCAAAGGCUGCAGUCACCAGCAUCUUUUCCAACCUUAAUGAACUGUAUCCUCAAAAGAACACUAUCAGACUGGCUCUGCCGACUUCCAGUUCUGGAACAAGAUGGUUAAACUCAUUUUUCCCUGCUCUGCUCCUCUAAAUACAACUAAGUACCUUGGAAACUAUUCAGCAGACAAUGAUAAAGGGCUCUGAAAGCUAGAAGAAAAGGUGUACUUGCAAGAAACCUCAGGACUUGAGUAACAGCAACAUGGCAGGCCAGAAAGCAGACCCAGGGAGGAUAGCACAUGUCUUCGGCUACACUGGUGAAGGCAUCGUGCCUGCUCCACAGCACAUUUUUAUUCAAGGAAAGGAGAAAGAGACUACCUACUGCAUUUCUGUCACUCGCUGAAAAGGACACUCUGUCAGAAAAUCUUCUAGCAAACUUCAAAGGGCAAAAUCACCCCUUGUUACUGAUAAAGCCCAGAGAGCUUCAGCAGCUAACAUUCCCUGGACAGGGCACAGCAAGGAUUUGAACCUAGGUCAGUCUGGCCAGAACACCCACAAGCUUUCCUUAACUCAGUGUGCUAUCUCCCCACGACUAGGUCACUACUGCUUUAUAAUCACCUUUGUAGCCACCAGUGGAUUUUGCUCAUCAGUAUUUUUCAGGCAAUUGAUACUUUAGAUAUUCAGCUGCAAGACGUAUGCAGUUUUCAUUGACAUCUUUUGGAGAAACUGACAAACCUGGACUUGACUUAAUGCCUUUGGAACCUUCCAAGAUGUUAUAUAACUCUAGAUAGAAGGCUGGGCCUCCAUGAUGUCAGGAAUGUUGCAUUCUUAUUUCCCCAUAGAUAAACCCAUUUGUCCACAAAGUCAAGGAGUCAGGCAGAGGCCCUUGCCAUGGGGCUUUUUAGGAUAAAGCAACAAGCCUGGACUUUGCUCUACAACAGGGUUUUGCAUAGGGAGUGGUAUGACCAGAUCCCUCAAGAAAGAAAGCUUAGAGACCAGGCCAGAGUCCACUGCAGUAGCCCAGUCAAGAGAGGAUGGUGACUUGGACUUGUAGUAGAGCCAGUUAGAAUGAAAGAAAUUGACACAUUCAGAAAUGGUUUUAGAGAUAGAGUCAAACUGGACCUGAUAAAGAACUAGAGAAGCGGAGUGAGGAUAAAGAGAAGAGCCAUGACUGACUCGGAAGAUUUUGUCUUGAAAAACUUGAGAACUCAAGACAGAGUGAAAUAAAAUCACAUGUGGGAAAAA